rnacentral:rRNA from 1 species
CCUACGGGUGGCAGCAGUGGGGAAUAUUGGACAAUGGGGGGAACCCUGAUCCAGCCAUGCCGCGUGUGUGAAGAAGGCCCUCGGGUUGUAAAGCACUUUCAGUGAGGAAGAACGCCUGGUGGUUAAUACCCAUCAGGAAAGACAUCACUCACAGAAGAAGCACCGGCUAACUCCGUGCCAGCAGCCGCGGUAAUACGGAGGGUGCGAGCGUUAAUCGGAAUUACUGGGCGUAAAGCGCGCGUAGGUGGCUUGAUAAGCCGGUUGUGAAAGCCCCGGGCUCAACCUGGGAACGGCAUCCGGAACUGUCAAGCUAGAGUGCAGGAGAGGAAGGUAGAAUUCCCGGUGUAGCGGUGAAAGGCGUAGAGAUCGGGAGGAAUACCAGUGGCGAAGGCGGCCUUCUGGACUGACACUGACACUGAGGUGCGAAAGCGUGGGUAGCAAACAGGAUUAGAUACCCCGGUAGUC